UACGUAGGGUGCAAGCGUUGUCCGGAUUUAUUGGGCGUAAAGAGCUCGUAGGCGGUCUGUCGCGUCGGAUGUGAAAACCCAGGGCUCAACCCUGGGCCUGCAUUCGAUACGGGCAGACUAGAGUACGGCAGGGGAGACUGGAAUUCCUGGUGUAGCGGUGAAAUGCGCAGAUAUUAGGAAGAACACCAGUGGCGAAGGCGGCCAUCUGGCUCGGUACUGACGCUCAGGUUCGAAAGCGUGGGGAGCAAACAGG
rnacentral:rRNA from 1 species